rnacentral:rRNA from 1 species
AGAGUUUGAUCAUGGCUCAGGAUGAACGCUAGCGGCGGGCCUAAUACAUGCAAGUCGAGGGGCAGCGGGGGUAGCAAUACUUGCCGGCGACCGGCGCACGGGUGCGUAACGCGUAUGCAACCUGCCCUUUUCACGGGGAUAGCCCUCCGAAAGGAGGAUUAAUACCCGAUGGUACCAUGAGAUGACAUCGUUUUAUGGUUAAAGAUUUAUCGGAAAAGGAUGGGCAUGCGUCUGAUUAGCUAGUUGGCGGGGUAACGGCCCACCAAGGCGACGAUCAGUAGGGGUUCUGAGAGGAUGAUCCCCCACACCGGUACUGAGACACGGACCGGACUCCUACGGGAGGCAGCAGUAAGGAAUAUUGGUCAAUGGGCGAGAGCCUGAACCAGCCACGCCGCGUGCAGGAAGAAGGCCCUAUGGGUUGUAAACUGCUUUUGUACGGGAAGAAUGUCCCUCUUGCGAGGGGGAGUGACGGUACCGUAAGAAUAAGCAUCGGCUAACUCCGUGCCAGCAGCCGCGGUAAUACGGAGGAUGCAAGCGUUAUCCGGAUUCAUUGGGUUUAAAGGGUGCGUAGGCGGAUAUGUAAGUCAGGGGUGAAAUCCGGCAGCUCAACUGUCGAACUGCCUCUGAUACUGCAUAUCUAGAGUUGGCGUGAGGCAGGCGGAAUAUGACGUGUAGCGGAGAAAUGCAUAGAUAUGUCAUAGAACACCGAUAGCGAAGGCAGCCUGCCAAAGCCACACUGACGCUGAUGCACGAAAGCGUGGGUAGCGAACAGGAUUAGAUACCCUGGUAGUCC